UAAGGAAUAUUGGACAAUGGGCGGAAGCCUGAUCCAGCCAUGCCGCGUGAAGGAUGAAGGCGCUCAGCGUUGUAAACUUCUUUUGGAUGGGGACAAUAACUUCUAUUUAUGGAAGCUUGAGGGUACCAUCAGAAUAAGCACCGGCUAACUCCGUGCCAGCAGCCGCGGUAAUACGGAGGCGCAAGCGUUAUCCGGAAUCACUGGGUUUAAAGGUGCGUAGGCGGUCAGAUAAGUCAGUCGUGAAAUUCCUCGGCUUAACCGGGUGGACUGCGAUUGAUACUGUUUGACUUGAAUGAGGUUGAGGUAGGCGGAAUGUGGCAUGUAGCGGUGAAAUGCUUAGAUAUGCCAUAGAACACCGAUUGCGAAGGCAGCUUGCUGGGCCUUCAUUGACGCUGAGGCACGAAAGCGUGGGGAGCAAACAGGAUUAGAUACCCAUGUAGUCCCUGAGCGGCUGGCAAGGCGCAU
rnacentral:rRNA from 1 species